AAAGCGUACGAACUAAGUGAUAAGGAAUUCAGAUUAAAGCGAGCGGGGUUCCGCACGUGGUUUGCAGGGGUUGCCUUGGCGACACUGUUCCUCUCACUCUGUUCAAAAGCCGAUUGCUGAACGUGUUAAAACGCCAUCACAAUAUGUGCCCGUACGGCACCGAGAAAGGCAUAGGGUGACGUCGGUGGAGAUGUAUAGUCUUAGGGUGAGGCUGGUAUGACCGGUAACGGCUC
rnacentral:misc_RNA from 1 species